GACGGAGGGGGCAAGCGUUGUCCGGAAUUAUUGGGCGUAAAGCGCGUGUAGGCGGCACGGUACGUCCGCUGUGAAAGUCGGGGGCUCAACCCUCGAAUGCCGGUGGAUACUGUCGGGCUAGAGUGCGGAAGAGGCGAGUGGAAUUCCUGGUGUAGCGGUGAAAUGCGCAGAUAUCAGGAGGAACACCAAGUGCGAAGGCAGCUCGCUGGGACGUUACUGACGCUGAGACGCGAAAGCGUGGGGAGCAAACAGG
rnacentral:rRNA from 1 species